rnacentral:rRNA from 1 species
UACAGAGGGUGCGAGCGUUAAUCGGAAUUACUGGGCGUAAAGCGCGCGUAGGCGGCUUUGCAAGCCGGAUGUGAAAUCCCCGGGCUUAACCUGGGAACUGCAUUCGGGACUGCAUUGCUAGAGUAUGGGAGAGGGAAGUGGAAUUUCAGGUGUAGCGGUGAAAUGCGUAGAUAUCGGGAGGAACACCAAUAGCGAAGGCAGCUCGCUGGGACGGUAUUGACGCUGAGGCGCGAAAGCGUGGGGAGCAAACAGG